rnacentral:rRNA from 1 species
CAGUGAAUCAUGGAUCUUUGAACGCAUCUUGUGCCUUUUGGUAUUCCAAAAAGCACACCUGUUUGAGUGUCAUG